rnacentral:rRNA from 1 species
GAUUUCUGACGAACCGGAGUGGCCCGUUUCCUUUUCGGGGAUGAGUGCCGCUUUGAGUUUGUCAUCCUUCCAGAGAGCUGCGUCUACCGUUUACUCGGCCGGAUGUAUGCGAUCUGGAUCUAUUACUUUGAAAAAAUUAGAGUGUUUAAAGCAGGCUUAUGCUGUGAAUACAUUAGCAUGGAAUAAUAAUCUAGGACUUUCGGUUCUAUUUUGUUGGUGUUCUGGAGCUGAAGUAAUGAUUGAUAGGGAUAGUUGGGGGUGCUAGUAUUCAAUGGCCAGAGGUGAAAUUCUCGGAUUCCUUGAAGACUAACUUAUGCGAAAGCAUU